AUUGAACGCUGGCGGCAGGCUUAACACAUGCAAGUCGAGCGGAGCGAGGGUGCUUGCACCUUAGCUUAGCGGCGGACGGGUGAGUAAUGCUUAGGAAUCUGCCUAUUAGUGGGGGACAACAUUCCGAAAGGGAUGCUAAUACCGCAUACGCCCUACGGGGGAAAGCAGGGGAUCUUCGGACCUUGCGCUAAUAGAUGAGCCUAAGUCGGAUUAGCUAGUUGGUGGGGUAAAGGCCUACCAAGGCGACGAUCUGUAGCGGGUCUGAUAGGAUGAUCCGCCACACUGGGACUGAGACACGGCCCAGACUCCUACGGGAGGCAGCAGUGGGGAAUAUUGGACCAUGGGCGGAAGCCUGAUCCAGCCAUGCCGCGUGUGUGAAGAAGGCCUUUUGGUUGUAAAGCACUUUAAGCGAGGAGGAGGCUACUAGUAUUAAUACUACUGGAUAGUGGACGUUACUCGCAGAAUAAGCACCGGCUAACUCUGUGCCAGCCGCCGCCGUAA
rnacentral:rRNA from 1 species